rnacentral:rRNA from 1 species
GAUGAACGCUGGCGGCGUGCUUAACACAUGCAAGUCGAACGGAAAGGCCCCGGCUUGGUGGGGUGCUCGAGUGGCGAACGGGUGAGUAACACGUGGGUAACCUGCCCUGCACUUCGGGAUAAGUUUAGGAAACUGGGGCUAAUACCGGAUAGGACCAUGUGCUGGAUGGUGGUGGUGGGAGAUUUUUCGGUGUGGGAUGGGCUCGCGGCUUAUCAGCUUGUUGGUGGGGUAGUGGCUUACCAAGGCGUUGACGGGUAGCCGGCCUGAGAGGGUGUACGGCCACAUUGGGACUGAGAUACGGCCCAGACUCCUACGGGAGGCAGCAGUGGGGAAUAUUGCACAAUGGGCGGAAGCCUGAUGCAGCGACGCCGCGUGCGGGAUGACGGCCUUCGGGUUGUAAACUGCUUUCGCCUGUGACGAAGCGUAAGUGACGGUACCUGGUGAAGAAGCACCGGCUAACUACGUG